CAGCAAAAAUGGGUCUCUUUGGGCAAAGCAGAGGAUUCCAACCCAGGACGAGCAAGCUGCCGCAAAAUGGUAGGCAAGUCCAACAAGCAGAGGAGAAAAACAUUAUUUCACCGGGAAAAAGAAGGAAGUUGGGGGGAGGGCUUGUUCUGAACAAAAGUCCAUUUAAAGCGAAGCCAGAGUUCAGGGUAAUAACGUUUCCCUUUCUCAUUGCCUGAGUGGCAGAGGUGGUCAGUUUCUUUUAGAAGAUGCCACGUGUGGAUCUUUCCGUUUGGGGGCCUAUAACUGAUGAUCGUGUCCUGCCGAGGUUCUUCUGCUGGGGUCUGCAACUGACCAUUCUUCCCUGUAAUCCACACGGAGUGGUGGACUGCCCCACCUGCCUCCUUUUCCAGCAUUCCAGGUCCACUUCAGUGAGGUUUCCUUUCAUUAAUUUUCCCGUUUCCUUCUUUGAGAUCAAGAUCUUUCCUCGAAAGCAUCGUUGACCAAGAGUUAGGUAUUUGGUAUAGACUGGUUUUGUCCCUCAGGGCCUGGGAGGACCCACGCUGGAAGGAAAGUGCAUAGCAAUUGGAAACCACUCCGGACCACAUUUGAGUAGCAAGAAGAGUAAGGAGGGAGAACUCUCGGAUGCUUGCCCUCUGAGGUCUGUGUCUUCUCCAGGUUAUGGGCAUUGGAGGUCAUCUUAAAGCGUCAAGCUAGCAUCACCUGAUUGGGGACAUUGUUUUUAUGAAAGACUGAUAGGCAAGUACACAAUCAAAAGUAACAUGACAAUUUCGGAACUGUAUGCUGAUUCUAAACCGGGACGCUGGGUCUGAAGGUAGCCAGCUGAAAAUGUUUCUUGGCUCUUAAUUCCAGUUUAGGGAAGAGAAGUUUCUCCCUAUGAAGGCAAGCCCAGGCUCAUGGAUGGCCCCCGGAAGUCCCUGAUUAAAGUAGGUGCAAGAGCAGAAUAGUAAAUAUUGCACAAGCACAUGGAAAGAACCAAUCCAGUGCACUGGGAAGAAACAGUGGGACUCAUCUCCGACAUGAGCAAGGCGGUCUAAAUCUGGAGUGGCUUAAAAUAAAUAAAUAAAUAAAUAAAUAAAU